rnacentral:rRNA from 1 species
UCCGUGCCAGCAGCCGCGGUAAUACGGUGCGUGCAAGAGUUAAUCUGAAUUACUGGGCGUAAAGCGCACGCAGGCGGUCUGUCAAGUCGUAUGUGAAAUCCCCGGGCUCAACCUGGGAACUGCAUUCGAAACUGGCAGGCUAGAUUCUUGUAGAGGGGGGUUGAAUUCCAGGUGUAGCGGUGAAAUGCGUAGAGAUCUGGAGGAUUACCGGUGGCGAAGGCGGCCCCCUGGACAAAGACUGA